rnacentral:rRNA from 1 species
UACGGAGGGUGCGAGCGUUGUCCGGAAUCAUUGGGCGUAAAGGGCGCGUAGGUGGCCCGGUCAGUUCGUGGUGAAAGCGCGGGGCUCAACCCUGCGUCGGCCAUGAAUACUGCCGCGGCUGGAGCACUGUAGAGGCAGGCGGAAUUCCGUGGUGUAGCGGUGAAAUGCGUAGAUAUAGGAGGAACACCGGUGGUGUAGACGGC